rnacentral:rRNA from 1 species
GACGAACGCUGGCGGCGUGCUUAACACAUGCAAGUCGAACGGAAAGGCCCUGCUUUUGUGUGUUUCUCGAGUGGCGAACGGGUGAGUAACACGUGAGUAACCUGCCCUUGACUUUGGGAUAACUUCAGGAAACUGGGGCGAAUACCGGAUAGGAGCUCCUGCUGCAUGGGGGGGGUUGGAAAGUGUCGGCGGUUGUGGAUGGACUCGCGGCUUAUCAGCUUGUUGGUGGGGUAGUGGCUUACCAAGGCUUUGACGGGUAGCCGGCCUGAGAGGGUGACCGGCGACAUUGGGACUAAGAUACGGAGCAGACUCCUACGGGAGGCAGCAGUGGGGAAUAUUGCACAAUGGGCGGAAGCGUGAUGCAGCAACGCCGCGUGCGGGAUGACGGCCUUCGGGUGGUAAACCGCUUUCGACUGUGAUGAAGCGUGAGUGACGGUAAUGGGUAAAGAAGCACCGGCUAACUACGUG